AUACGGCUCCAAAAACUUAGAACACAACAACCUUUGAUUUUCAACUUCCUUGAAAACAUCAUCGUUCAAACUCAAACUAAAAGUUCCCUCAGAAUCCAUGGAAUCAGAAGUUGCCUCAUUCUCAAACGACUCGAAAGGGGUUCAAAGUGUGACAGAACCAAACCCAUUCAACAUCAAAGGGAGGAAGAAUCAUAGGAAGUGAAGAAUCUAGCACCGUCAGAUCAGAAAUCAACGGCAUCCAUAGAUCACGGUACCUGUCAUAACGCGCCACCGUGAGAUGAGAUUGUUUUAUUUAUUUAUUUAUUUAUUUAUUUAUUUUAUUUUUAAAAAUUGAUCGAUCACCUUCUUAUUGCUUCCACCGUAAUGAGUGUGUUGUGAAGCCAUUGAGAAUCUGCAACGGUUCUCAAGAACGUGAUGUUUCGCUUGGCUGCUGAAACGAGAUCGAUUCCGAAUUGUAUUGCGGAGAUUUCCGGUAUCUCACCGAGACUUCUCGACGACGAUGUGGUCGCGGAUAUUUCGGAAUUUUCCGACAUCGUUUAAUUUAUUAAUUUUGGUAUAGUGGUAGUUGAGUUAAGUGUGUAAGAUUAAGAUGAGUAUGAGUUGAAGGGGAGACUAGAGAGAGAAUCAUCGUUGUUGUUUUUUUCAUCAAUCACAAAAUCUUAGUACUUGUAGUUCAAGUGUUGAAAUUAAUUAAUUAAUUAAUUAAUUCAUCAACGUGUUGUUGUUUUGUUGGAACUUGGAACAAAGAGAAUAAAUGAUAAGACUUGACUUCAAUGGCAGCACUUCCAAUUCA